rnacentral:rRNA from 1 species
GCCCUUCGGGGUGGAUUAGUGGCGAACGGGUGAGUAACACGUGGGCAAUCUGCCCUUCACUCUGGGACAAGCCCUGGAAACGGGGUCUAAUACCGGAUAACACCGGCCUCUGCAUGGAGGCUGGUUAAAAGCUCCGGCGGUGAAGGAUGAGCCCGCGGCCUAUCAGCUUGUUGGUGGGGUAAUGGCCUACCAAGGCGACGACGGGUAGCCGGCCUGAGAGGGCGACCGGCCACACUGGGACUGAGACACGGCCCAGACUCCUACGGGAGGCAGCAGUGGGGAAUAUUGCACAAUGGGCGAAAGCCUGAUGCAGCGACGCCGCGUGAGGGAUGACGGCCUUCGGGUUGUAAACCUCUUUCAGCAGGGAAGAAGCGAAAGUGACGGUACCUGCAGAAGAAGCGCCGGCUAACUACGUGCCAGCAGCCGCGGUAAUACGUAGGGCGCAAGCGUUGUCCGGAAUUAUUGGGCGUAAAGAGCUCGUAGGCGGCUUGUCACGUCGGGUGUGA